UAGCCGUAAACGAUACUCGCUAGGUGUCGGCCACGGUGCGACCGUUGUCGGUGCCGUAGGGAAGCCGUGAAGCGAGCCACCUGGGAAGUACGGCCGCAAGGCUGAAACUUAAAGGAAUUGGCGGGGGAGCACCACAACGGGUGGAGCUUGCGGUUUAAUUGGAUUCAACGCCGGAAAUCUUACCGGGACCGACAGCAACAUGAAGGCCAGGCUGAAGACUUUGCCGGAUUAGCUGAGAGGAGGUGCAUGGCGUAGUCUGU
rnacentral:rRNA from 1 species